CAGACCUGCCAACCUCCAACAGCAACAAAUCUGGAGAUCUGAUCGAAAGUUUCUUGAGAUUGACCCUUAAUUCUGGAGAUAAAAUACUGAAAAUCUGGGGUAAUUCUGGAUAAGACGAUUACUGUAAUCAUUGCCUGCAGAUGACUGAUCUAUGUUCGUGACAUAGCAAUUUUUAAUUACUGUCCUCCAAAAUAAAACUUUAACUCAACAGUUUACUUACUAAAACGAUACAAUAAUGGAGCAUACCGCUUAGAUUAUUCAAAAUGGCGGAGUAGUUAGACUACUUUAGGAAUGAGUAAAUAAAUUGUGUUGGGGAUUUUUUACAAAUUAGAAUUACCGUCAAUGGCUAGUUUCAUUUCACUUCAAUCACUCCAAUUUUAAAGUCUAUAGUGGUGGUUAAAAUUUCAAAGUCGUGAAUCCGUGAGAUUUGAAAAUGUUUCCGUGAGUCCGUGAGAUAAUGCCUGAAUUCGGAGUCACACGGGAAAUCCGUGAGAGUUGGCAGGUCUG